rnacentral:rRNA from 1 species
AUACGGAGGGUGCAAGCGUUAAUCGGAAUUACUGGGCGUAAAGCGCUCGUAGGCGGUUUGUUAAGUCGGAUGUGAAAGCCCCGGGCUCAACCUGGGAACUGCAUUCGAUACUGGCAAACUAGAGUAUAGUAGAGGCAAGUGGAAUUCCGGGUGUAGCGGUGAAAUGCGUAGAUAUCCGGAGGAACAUCAGUGGCGAAGGCGACUUGCUGGACUAAUACUGACGCUGAGGAGCGAAAGCGUGGGGAGCAAACGGGAUUAGAAACCCCAGUAGUCC